rnacentral:rRNA from 1 species
GUCUCCGUCUACCCUAACUUCAGCACCCAUGGCAUGGCCUUCGUCAUCGCCCCGCGGAGGAACUUCUCCAAUGCUCUUCCUGCCAAGUACCUGGGCCUCACCAACAUCCACAAUGAUGGCAACGCCAGCAACAACAUCUUUGUCGUGGAGCUGAACACCAUCCAGAGAGUGGAGUUCAAGGACAUCAACGCCAACCACGUCGGCAUCGACAUCAACGGCCUGCAGUCCCUGCGGUCAUACAACGUCGGCUACUACGAUGACGAGAGCGGCGACUUCCGAAGCAUGAAGCUCAUCAGCCGCGAGGCCAUGCAAGUGUGGAUUGAUUACCACGGGGAGAGGAAGGAAAUGAACGUGACACUGGCUCCCUUCGACAUGGCCAAACCUGCUAGGCCACUCCUCUCGGCCAGCUACGACCACUCCAUGGUGCUCACUGAGCUGGUGUAUCUUGGGUUCUCGGCGGCGACCGGUCGUGUCAAUUCGCGGCAUUUCGUUCUCGGUUGGAGCUUGGGCAUGAGCAGACAAGCUCCGGCCAUCGACAUCGCCAAGCUGCCCAAGUUGCCUCGGGUUGGCCCGAAGCCUCGGUCCAAGGUCUUGGACAUCGUUCUACCAAUAGUCACGGCCACAUUUUUUAUUGGCUUGGGUGGUAUCCUUGACCUGGUCAUGCGGAGGAGAUCAAGGUACGCUAAAUUGCGGGAAUAUUGGGAGGUUGAGUUCGGACCACACCGCUUCUUGCACAAGGAUUUGUUCCGUGCAACCAACAGAUUCAAGGACAAGCAUCUACUUGGCGCAGGGGGUUUUGGAAGGGUAUACAAAGGCGUGCUUGAGACAUCUAAACUGGAGGUUACGGUGAAGAGGGUGUCUCACGAGUCAAGACAGGGGAUGAGGGAGUUCAUAGCUGAGAUUGCAAGCAUCAGCCGCAUCCGACAUCGUAAUCUUGUCGAGUUGCUCGGUUACUGCCGUCGAAAAGGUGAACUUCUUUUGGUGUACGCCUACAUGCCCAACGGAAGCCUGGAUAAACAUCUAUAUAACAGUAGAGAGGACUAG